rnacentral:rRNA from 1 species
GWUGGUGAACCAGCGGAGGGAUCAUUACUGAGUUACCGCUCUACAACCCUUUGUGAACAUACCUAACCGUUGCUUCGGCGGGCAGGGGAAGCCUCUCGCGGGCCUCCCCUCCCGGCGCCGGCCCCACCACGGGGACGGGGCGCCCGCCGGAGGAAACCAAACUCUAUUUACACGACGUCUCUUCUGAGUGGCACAAGCAAAUAAUUAAAACUUUUAACAACGGAUCUCUUGGUUCUGGCAUCGAUGAAGAACGCAGCGAAAUGCGAUAAGUAAUGUGAAUUGCAGAAUUCAGUGAAUCAUCGAAUCUUUGAACGCACAUUGCGCUCGCCAGCAUUCUGGCGAGCAUGCCUGUUCGAGCGUCAUUUCAACCCUCAAGCACCGCUUGGUUUUGGGGCCCCACGGCAGACGUGGGCCCUUAAAGGUAGUGGCGGACCCUCCCGGAGCCUCCUUUGCGUAGUAACUAACGUCUCGCACUGGGAUCCGGAGGGACUCUUGCCGUAAAACCCCCAAAUUCUUUACAGGUUGACCUCGGAUCAGGUAGGAAUACCCGCUGAACUUAAGCAUAUCAAUANGCCGGAGGAA